AUACGGAGGGUCCGAGCGUUAAUCGUAAUUACUGGGCGUAAAGCGCGCGUAGGUGGAUGUAUAAGUCAGAUGUGAAAGCCCUGGGCUCAACCUAGGAACUGCAUUUGAAACUGUACGUCUAGAGUAUGGUAGAGGUGAGUGGAAUUUCAGGUGUAGCGGUGAAAUGCGUAGAGAUCUGAAGGAACAUCAGUGGCGAAGGCGACUCACUGGGCCAUUACUGACACUGAGGUGCGAAAGCGUGGGUAGCAAACAGGAUUAGAAACCCUAGUAGUCC
rnacentral:rRNA from 1 species